AGUAUAUGAUUAACGUUAAAAAUAUAUACCACUUAUGUUCUAAAAUAAUAAUUUAUGUAUAAAAAAAUGAAAACAAACAUCCGCGCGGUUGCGCGGAUCAAAAUCUAGUUAUUUUUAAAUUGAUGGUCAUGUUUUUAGGCGUCUAGUAAGGUUUUUUUUUCAGUUAAAUUGAUCUGUGAAUGCAUUAUUGAGUUUGUUUUGUCUAAUAUCCAUAUUUUGUAUUAAUGAACUUUAGUUAUUGGGUUAUUAGUGGACUUUAACUUGAUUGGGUACAUAAAAAUUAAAUGAAAGGUUAACUGAACUAAAGAAGAAGAAAAAAAGUACUUUUAUUGUUUCUCUCUCAGCCGACUCAACCUAAUUUUCUUCUUUCUUUCACUAUCUCAUCCGGCCCGUAUUCUUUUUUCAUCACCUCACCUUCGUCUUCAC
rnacentral:lncRNA from 1 species